rnacentral:miRNA from 1 species
GACAAGUUGUCUUUGGCUACA